rnacentral:rRNA from 1 species
AACCUCCGCAAUGUGAGAAAUCGCGACGGGGGGAUCCCAAGUGCCAUUCUUAACGGGAUGGCUUUUCAUUAGUGUAAAGAGCUUUUGGAAUAAGGGCUGGGCAAGACCGGUGCCAGCCGCCGCGGUAACACCGGCAGCUCUAGUGGUAGCAGUUUUUAUUGGGCCUAAAGCGUCCGUAGCCGGUUUAAUAAGUCUCUGGUGAAAUCCUGUAGCUUAACUGUGGGAAUUGCUGGAGAUACUAUUAGACUUGAGACCGGGAGAGGUUAGAGGUACUCCCAGGGUAGAGGUGAAAUUCUGUAAUCCUGGGAGGACCGCCUGUUGCGAAGGCGUCUAACUGGAACGGUUCUGACGGUGAGGGACGAAAGUUAGGGGCGCGAACCGGAUUAGAUACCCGGGUAGUCCUAACUGUAAACGAUGCGGACUUGGUGUUGGGAUGGCUUUGAGCUGCUCCAGUGCCGAAGGGAAGCUGUUAAGUCCGCCGCCUGGGAAGUACGGUCGCAAGACUGAAACUUAAAGGAAUU